GCUGGGUUGAACAUGGUGACUUUAUCUAGAGGAAUGUACUAAAUUUUUGUAGACUCUUCUGCUAUAUUCUGCUGUAAAGGUGCUCUAUAAUGCUGUGAUAAAGAAGUCAGGUCCGUUCACAUGGGCCAGAGGAAAAGCCAUUUGUGUUGAAGGUCCUCAAACUAGGCAUGUAGAUGUUCAUUCCUUCAUCUUGUUUCUGACAUUUUUCCACCUUUGAGGCCUUCAGAUGUAUUUUAAAUGAAAAAUGCCUCUUAAAUUAGAAUGAACAUCUAUUAACGUUAUCAUUUGAUUAUUUUCUCACUUUUAUUUGGUUAAUUCAUGGGGAUGGAUUCUUCUAUAGGUACACAUUCGUUUCUAGUGGUCGUUCUCAUUUAUUGAUAUACUUAACAUUUAGGACAUUUUAGGUGAGCUAAGGUACUACCAUGACAUUUCAAAUGGUUUUGAAAUAUUUACUCAUUCCGACUCUUCCCCUGAAAU
rnacentral:lncRNA from 1 species